UUUGGUCAACGGUCAACUCGACGCGCCGAAAAUGUUCGUCUACUGUCUGGGUGGAACUCCUCGGAGACCUACAAAAAAAGAUCGGUGUCGUAUUUUAAGAUUGUCAUUCUAAUACAAGUUGGUGGAGAUCCGAGGUAAAGAGUUGGGGGAGAGAGAGAGCGAAAUGCUUUUGCAUAGGGGAUUAGCCCUCUAAUCGAUCUCUCAUUAAAACAAAUUAGCCGUAAUUUUUUUUUAUCGUGAUUUAAAUAAAUACUAUUGAAAUAGUUUUUAUGUGUGUUAUAUUAACUUUAAUUUUUUAUUAUAAUUCUUAAAAAUUAUAUUUAUAAAUAUCUUAUAAAUUAUGAUUAUUAAAAAUCAUAAUAAAAAAUAGACGUAUAAUAUUUUGCUCACGCUUCAUUUUGGCUUCUAACCGGCGCUUCACGGCUCUUUAUUUUCUUUCUCUCGACUUCUGUUUUAGGGUUAGAAACCGUCGGCGGAAGCUUUCCUCUCCGCUGCCGUCGGCGGAUUCCCGCCCCCCUCCCCCCUGCUUCCACGGGCGAAAGCUUCCUCUCCGCUGCCGUUGGUGGAUUCCUGGCCCCUCCCCCCCCCGCCCCUCUGCUUCCUCUGCUUCCACGGGCGAAAACUUCCUCUCCGCUGCCGUUGGUGGAUUCCUGGCCCCUCCCCUCCCCCCCUGCUUCAACUGCUUCCGCCGGCGGAAGCUUCCUCUCCGCUUCCGUCGGCGGAUUCCCGCCUCCCUCUCCCUGCUUCUUCCGUCGGUGAAAGUUUCCUCUCCGCUGCCCUCAGCGGAUUCCCGUCCUCUCCCCCCGUUGCCGUCAAUAGAUUCCUGCCCCCUCCGCCCUAUUUACUCUGCUUCCAUCGGCGGAAGCUUCCUCACCGCUGCCGUGUGGUGUCUUUUGUUGUUUCUCUCGCCUUGCGUCUCCUUCCUUCUUCCAGUAGAAGAAGGAUCAAGAACUUUUAAUGUCCUAUUCCGCCAUUGUUAGGGAGACCGAGAAAUCUCAGCUCGAACAAUGAGGGUCGAUCAGGAUUUCUCUCUUCAUUCAUUAUAUAAACUUGUCUGGCCAAUAGGAGUGAUUAGGGAUUGACUUUUCAUCUUUGCUUUGGAG
rnacentral:lncRNA from 1 species